AAAAUGGUGAAAAUUCGGAUUCUGGGGGUGUUUUUGAAAAGAAAAUCGGAAAUCGAUGGUCAAAACGUAAUUUAGAAAAAUUGCACCACGUCAGCAGCCACCUCAGCAGCUCGGUCAGCAGCUCCGGCCAACUAGGCCACGCCGCGUGGCAGAGAUGCUGACGCGGGAAGGCCACGCAGAACGGCCCACGUGGGCGAUCCGCGUGCGCGUCACCGGACGGUUGAGAUCCGUUUCUGCGCGCACAGACGGCCCAGAUCAAAUGCGUGCAAGGACGGCCCAAAUUGCACGCGUGCGGAUGGUCCAGAUUGAAUCACGCACGGACGGCCCAGAUCGCAUCGCGAUGGACGGCCCAAAUUUAUUUCUAAUUUAAUCGCAAUCGGACGGUCCAUAUUAAAUCGUGAUGGACGGCUCAAAUUAAAAGGGGAGGGUUAUAAAUAAUCUCAUCCAUACCUAACCCCAAACCCUAGCCGCCAGAGCCCUCAUCGGAGAAGACAGCCCAGCCACCGGAGGAACCGACCGCCGCCACCCGCCGUCGCACCGGGGCACUUUUCGGCUGCCAAACGAGCUAAAAUUUCUCCCAUUGGCUCAGUUUUCGAUGCUGAACCCAAUUGUGGCUAAAUUGGAGCCAAACUACAGGCCAAUUGGCCAGAAAAUAUCGCCGAAGCCCAGUGGCACCGUCGCGAAUUUUCUCAAUUUUUGCCUCCAAUGAGGCCUUUCCCGAUUCCUGUUCGAUGUAAUUUUUACACCAUUGUGACCACCGUCAUUUCCUCUAUAGGUUGACAGGAGCAAAACACCAAACCGCGACUCGUGCCGGAGGAGCCGCCACACCCGAAAGCUCUGCCGCCGGUAAGUCUCAGUUUUCUGGAUUUUUUGGCCCAUCGAGGGCCUAGGAGUGUUUUAUCACAAGAACCAAUGCAAGUUUGGCCAAAUUCGACCGAAAAUGGUCAGAAACGGCCAACUUGAGGCGGAUCGCCGUCGCCAGAGCACGAUGGAGCCGCUGUGCUGGAAUUUUGAAAUCGGUCGAAUAGGCCCUGGGUUUGAUUU
rnacentral:lncRNA from 1 species